rnacentral:rRNA from 1 species
AGGAUGAACGCUGGCGGCGUGCCUAACACAUGCAAGUCGAACGUCCUGUCUCGCAAGAGGCAGGGAGUGGCGGACGGGUGAGUACCACGUGGGUCAUCUACCGUGAGGUGAGGAAUACCGGCGAGAAAUCGCCGACAAGACCGCAUAGGCUCGAUGCAAGUCGAGCAAAGCUCUUUCGAGAGAGGGAGCGCCACACGAGGAGCCUGCGCCCGAUUAGCUAGCUGGUGGAGUAACGGUUCACCAGGGCGACGAUCGGUAGCUGGUCUGAGAGGACGAUCAGCCACACUGGGAUUGAGAACGGCCCAGACUCCUACGGGGGGCAGCAGUGAGGAAUUUUCGUCAAUGGGGGCAACCCUGAACGAGCAACGCCGCGUGCAGGAGAAGGUUUCGGAUCGUAAACUGCUUUUCUCGGGGAAGAGAACGGACGGUACCCGAGGAAUCAGCCCCGGCUAACUACGCGCCAGCAGCCGCGGU